AAAGUACUCCCUCCAUCCCAAAAUUCUUGUCUUAGGUUUGUCUAGAUACGGAUGUAUCAAGUCACAUUUUAGUAUUAGAUACAUCCGUAUCUAGACAAAUCUAAGACAAGAAAUUUGGGACAGAGGGAGUAGUUG
rnacentral:pre_miRNA from 1 species